UACCCACGUCCGACAUCGAAAAAACAGGUACGUGCCUUCUUGGGAUUGGCGGGCUACUACCGCAGGUUCGUGCCUAACUUUUCUGCUGUAGCCUCUCCCCUCUCAGACCUUACAAAGAAGGGCCAGCCAGACCAGGUGAGGUGGACAGCCAAUGCAGAAAGGGCCUUCCAGGCCCUAAAAGAGGCCCUCACCAGCGCGCCGAUACUCCGCAACCCGGACUUUGACCUCCCGUUCACUGUACCUACUGAUGCUUCCGAGACCGGGCUGGGCGCCGUCCUCUCCCAGACCUUCGACGGGGAAGAACACCCAGUCCUCUACAUCAGCCGGAAGCUGUCCCGGGCCGAGAGGAAGUAUGCGGCGGUCGAGCGGGAGGCACUAGCAAUAAAAUGGGCCAUUGAGGAGCUGAGAUACUAUCUGGCGGGCAGGCACUUCGUCCUCAUAACAGACCACGCCCCCCUGCAGUGGAUGGCCAAGGCGAAGGACACCAACGCCCGGGUAACCCGCUGGUUCCUCGCCUUACAAGACUUCUCCUUUCAGGUUAAGCACCGGGCGGGGGCCCAGCAUGGUAACACGGAUGGGCUCUCUCGACGAGACGCCCUCUGGGCCCACCACCGAGCGGCAGUAGGCUCGGAGCUGAGGGGGGGGUACUGUCGCGACGGGCAGAGAGCCGGCGCACACAAGAGGGAAAACGCUCCUUCUCCAACUGCUGCACCGGCACGACGUGGGCAGCUUCCUGCCGAACAUUCCGCCAGCCGGAAGGACCGCCGCGGCAGGGCGGGACUGACGCGACUCCGGCGGAUCCAACGGGGAAGUCCCACCACUCAGGCGACGGCGGAGGAGGAUAAAAGGGCGCGCUUCCGGCCGGGAAGCGGAAGAGAAUAUCGUAGCGUCAAGACGGACUCCGAGGUACAAGCGCGGACGAGACCGCCGGAUAGUGAGAGUCGCACAUACGGAGGACGCCGGCCCGGGAAAACCCCCGCCCCGCCUCAGGAAUCCCGCCUCCGCCACGAGUAGACUCCGCCGGCCGUCACGCCUCCACAAAACCCCGCACUCAUCCACUUAUAACCCAUUCACCUCAUCCUAGCCACAAUAAACCACCGUUUGCGAACAUCCUUCUGUCUCCUGUGGGUCUGUACGCCGCCCUUCCCCGGGCUAAUCCCUCACUGUAUGUAUGUAUGUAUGUAUGUAUGUAUGUA
ensembl:lncRNA